ensembl:lincRNA Mirg miRNA containing gene
AGAGUGGACGUGAACCCACCCACCAUCAUCAGUGUCCCUUGGGAAGGAGAGAACCCAGCAGCAUUCAUUACCACCCGAUGCUUGCUAAUGGUGUGACCUUGAAUGAGUCAGCCUGUCACCUGUCUGUGCCUCCGUUUGUCUGUCUGAGAGUGUUAAUGGCUGCUUAUAAGGUAUGUAUACACGCUGAAUGUGUGUUCAGUAUUUUGAUAGUGCCUGGUUUCCCCCAGAAAGUUGGAAAACCAUUGGCUUUUAUAAUGAUAGUUGUUGCAUGAAUGUCAUUACUCUGUGGAUCUCUUCCCACCCUCUAGAACACAGGUUCCUUGAGCUCAGAAACCCAUCUAAUGCUCGUAGGUGCACACGGGACGAAUGAUGCUGAAUGAAUGGCAGUUGGACAUGUUUUCUUUGUUGAACCCUCUUUGAGGCCUCUCAGAAGCCAGAGAGAAUAGAGGACAGUCCAGAAACCUUGUACCCUGAUGCUGCUGGUUUGUCUGUGGGGUCUCUCAGGAUACUGCCGUGGAAAGGGAGUUAUCCUCUUUUAGGUCAGCCUUCAUUGGUGGGCAGGAUGGACCCUACUACACAGAGAGUCAUGGUUUCUUCUAUGUCAAACCUACCUCAGGACUUCUCUAGGAGAAACACUUUGGGAUUCAGACUUGGUGUCCUUGUGCUUCUGGGUGAGUGACCAGUUUCUGGCCGAAGCCUGGAUGUCUGUACAAGUCUCUGGCCACCUGUAGGCAGGAUAGAACUCUGCAAGUCAGUCCAUGCUAGUCUGCUUUGCAGUUGGACCUGGGGGCCUCAUCGGAGGUAAUGCCAGCCUCCCUAGAGGGUGGGAGUCAGGGAGCCAGAGCCGAGGGAGGCAGGGCUGCCUGGGGAAGAGGCGCCCUGCUCAACUCUCGACCUGUGCUGACGUUUGAUUCUGGAGCAGAGGUUGCCCUUGGUGAAUUCGCUUUAUUGAUGUUGAAUCACACAAAGGCAACUUUUGUUUGAGUAUCAAAGCCUGCUUGGGGUGGCAUUGGGGACAAGUUACAAAGUUCUGGGGUCUCUGCAAAUGUCAUGUGCUAGAAUGGAAGGUGUGGAUAUGGGGAUGGUCAGGAAGGGGCGUGGCUCAGAAUGUCACGUGACCAGACAUGUAGUCCCAGGAACCAAUGGAGAGAUGCCAAUAUUUACUCCCUGACUCUUCUCAGCCUGAAUACUCUUUGUCACACCAGCACCUAGCCCCCCUAGUUGCAGACACACUCGCUGUUCUAUCUCUACUCUGAAGAUACCUUGACAAAAUUAACUCUGUCCUUUGACAGUGUCAAGGACAAUGGCAGCCUUUCCUCCCCACCCCCUUCCUCUCCUCAACUCACUGGGUCAGGAGUGCUCACAUACCAUCUGUUUUUCCCCCUUCCCACCCCACCCCCUCAACACACCUCUGUCUGUUUCUCUUUUGUCCUCAUGGCUCACCAAACCUUGUUCUCCAUUUUUGGAUGGGUUAGGAAAUGAAUAGAGGCGACCAGCAUUUCAUCCCGUUUACAUUAAAUAAUAGUGAUAAAAUAAUCACAAAAUAACACCACAAACUACCAGAAUAGCUUGGAGGAAAAUGUGUUCAAUUGACUACAAAUUGGCAGAAGAAUCCAAUUUUCUUGACAACAUUUGAGCUGCGACAUUUGACCUGGGGAAACAGUACUCUGUAGACAUGGCAGCCGCAAGGGGCAGCUUCAGUAGUGGCGGAUGCUAUGAGCAGUAAUAUUUGUGGUAGAUGAACAUACAUUGAGGAAUCAAAUCUUCGUUCAGAUUUUUAAAUGGGAAAGAAUUGAUCCUAAUGAAAAUGAUUUGAGGAAAUAACAAGGGAAAUAAAAGAAAUGAAAAUGGCCCAACAGCACAGUCAAGGAAGCUAAACAGGGAAUUGGAUUAGUUUAAUGGAAUUUAC